GUUCUAUUGUUUUUUUAAUAUUUUUGCAGCUUUUCUUUUGUUUUUAUUUUUUUCUCUUUUCUCUCUCCGCCUUAUCUUUCUUCUUUCCUCCACAAUCACUGUAUGGUUCCAAAUAUAUCAUCCACCUCCUCCAUUUUACUUCCUCCAUCCCUAUCGCCAUUUUCAUUACUUUCAUUCCACUAAAACAAAAGUUUUAAAAAAUACAAUUUAAUUUUCUUGUCGU
rnacentral:lncRNA from 1 species